CAGAUGUGCUGUUAGACAAUCUUCUGGGA
rnacentral:piRNA from 1 species